rnacentral:rRNA from 1 species
UACGAAGGUGGCAAGUGUUGUUCGGAUUUACUGGGCGUACAGGGAGCGUAGGCGGUUGGAUAAGCCCUCCGUGAAAUCUCCAGGCUUAACCUGGAAAGUGCAGAGGGGACUGUUCAGCUAGAGGAUGGGAGAGGAGCGCGGAAUUCCCGGUGUAGCGGUGAAAUGCGUAGAGAUCGGGAGGAAGGCCGGUGGCGAAGGCGGCGCUCUGGAACAUUUCUGACGCUGAGGCUCGAAAGCGUGGGGAGCAAACAGG